AUGGAGACCCGUAUGAAUGGCUUAACGAGGGCUUAACUGUCUCCUCUUUCCAGUCAAUGAAAUUGAUCUCCCCGUGCAGAAGCGGGGAUAAUAACAUAAGACGAGAAGACCCUAUGGAGCUUUAGACACCAAGGCGGACCAUGUUACUUAAACCCUCAUACAGGACUAAACAGGAUGUCCCCCGCCCUAAUGUC
rnacentral:rRNA from 1 species